rnacentral:rRNA from 2 species
UCUGGCGGCAGUAGCGCGGUGGUCCCACCUGACCCCAUGCCGAACUCAGAAGUGAAACGCCGUAGCGCCGAUGGUAGUGUGGGGUCUCCCUAUGCGAGAGUAGGGAACUGCCAGAC